UACGUAGGGGGCAAGCGUUGUCCGGAUUUAUUGGGCGUAAAGAGCGUGUAGGCGGCCACACAGGUCUGCUGUGAAACUCGAGGCUCAACCUCGAGCUGUCGGUGGAAACCGUGUGGCUAGAGUCCGGAAGAGGAGAGUGGAAUUCCCGGUGUAGCGGUGAAAUGCGCAGAUAAUCGGAAGAACGACCGUGCCGAGGCGUAGC
rnacentral:rRNA from 1 species